rnacentral:lncRNA from 1 species
GAGUCAUAGAGAUCCUUGGUUGCAUGGCUGUGGUUGGAUCCUCCGACCUUGAUAGCUUCCUCAUCAAGGAGGCAUUUAACCCCACAAGACGGUUUCCAGUGGAACUUGACGUAGUGAGCUUUUCCGGCUUUGUUGAUAAGCAUGUAGGUGUUGACACCAAAGCCAUCCAUGUGCCUGUAGUCCUGUGGGAUACCGAGAUCGUCAAAGAGGAACGAAAACAUGUGAAGACUCUCAGGGUGGUGUGAGAAGAAGUCCAGUAUCCUCCAGUUCUCCUGAAUGUGGGAUUUGGGGUUCGGUUUCAAGGCGUGGACCAUGUCAGGGAACUUCAUCCCGUCGCGGACGAAGAAGACAGGGAAGUUGUUGCCAACAAGAUCAAAGUUCCCCUGAGUUUGCAAAACAGACUCAUUAAAAGACAAGGAUGUUGAUGAUGGCAUGAAAGAGAGAGAGAGAGAGAGAGAGAGUGGGGAAAAGCUAAACCUCUCUGGUGUAGAACUUGACAGCAAAACCACGAGGAUCUCUGAGAGUCUCGGGGCUGCCGCGCUCGUGGAUCACAGUAGAGAAACGAACAAUGACAGGAGUCUGGACGCCAGGUCCUCGGAGAAAAUCAGCACAGGUAAGGUGGGUAAUGUCAUGGGUGACUUCAAAGAAACCUUUAGCACUAGCACCUCUGGCAUGAACAACUCUUUCAGGAAUCCGCUCCCUGUCAAAGUUGGCUAAUUUCUCAAGCAGAUGAUAGUCUUCCAGAAGAAUAGGGCCUGGCAAGUUACAAAAAUUAUAGCUUUCACAAGAAAGCUGAUUCACAAAAGUCCAAAAAAUGAAUGGAGACAUUCUCAUUUAAAUGUUUACUGCAAGAGAUAAGAAAGACGCACCUCUGGUUCCAGCAGUCAAAGAGGAGUUGUUGUUCCAGACAGGAGCACCCGAGUUUGUCGUGAAGAAGGGCGAAUCAUGAGCGCUUGAAGGACGAACCUGCACCCCCAAACGAUUGAUGAUAACAUGACAGAAUAAUAAACAAAUCAAGAGGGUCCAGAAGCAUCCGAGGCCGAAACCCUAGACAUUGCCGCGGCCGAUCCUGAAACCCUAGAGAUGGCCGUGACCGAACCUAAGGCCUUAGACAGGGCCGAGGAACCUAAUGUGCCUAAUACUGAUGCUUGGGACGCUAAGCUUCAUGGUACUGAUGGUCCUGAUAAUAAUGAGAUCUCAAUAAAUUAUGUCUUGUCUGGGAUACAAUAGAACAGAAAGAAUGUCGACAUUGUUGAUAUAUUUGCAUAUAAGGUAGCACUUGAACUUAUGGAUUUAAACGAGGAUCAUGAACCCACGUCUAUUUAUGAGUGCACUCAACGAUCAGAUUGGAUCAAAUGGAAAGAAGCUAUAAACGUGGAGUUAAAUUCUUUAAAGAAAAGAGGUGUCUUCGGUCCUAUAAUCCGGACACCCUAUGAUGUCAAACCAGUUGGAUACAAAUUGGUCUUUGUGAGGAAAAGAAACGAACAUGGUGAAGUAGUGAGAUAUAAAGCAUGGCUUGUUGCACAAGGAUUCUCACAGAGACCAGAAAUAGACUAUGAGGAGACAUACUCCCCUGUGGUGGAUGCUACUACUUUUAGAUUCCUGAUAAGUCUGGCUAUAAGAGAAAACUUAGACUUGCGGUUAAUGGAUGUAGUAACUGCAUACUUAUAUGGUUCACUGGAUAAUGAGAUAUAUAUGAAAGUACCAGAGGGGUAUUGAAUUGAAAAACAAAGCAAGUUCUCGAGAACAAUAUUGUAUAAAGUUGAACAAAUCACUUUAUGAAUUGAAACAAUCAGGUCGAAUGUGGUACAAUAGACUAAGUGAGUACCUAGUGAAAGAGGGCUAUAAGAAUGACCUCUAUGUUUUUUUAUAAAGAAAUUCGACAAUAAAGGAUUUGUGAUCAUAGCAGUGUAUGUUGAUGAUUUGAAUAUCCUAGGAACCUCUGGAGAGAUUUCCCAAACAGUUGAAUAUCUUAAGAAAGAAUUUGAGAUGAAAGAUCUUGGAAAAACAAAGUUCUGUUUGGGAUUACAGCUUGUGUACAUUAGAGAUGGAAUCCUUGUGCAUCAAAUGACAUAUACAGAGAAAGUACUCAAAAGAUUCAAUAUGGCCGAGUCUCACUCAUUGUCUAGCCCCAUGGUCGUGAGGUCUCUCGGACUGGACACAGAUCCGUUCGGCCCUAAGAAUGACGAUGAAGAUGUCCUUGGUCCCGAAGUGCCAUAUCUCAGUGCCAUUGGAGCUUUGAUGCAUCUGACUAGUCACACACGGCCAGACAUAUGCUUUGCAGUGAACCUACUAUCUAGGUUUAGCUCUUGUCCGACCUAAAGGCACUAGAAUGAGAUUAAACAUAUACUUCGUUACCUGCAAGGAACGAAAGACUUGUGUUUAUUUUAUACUAACCAAAACAAAGAAGGUUUAGUUGGUUUUGCUAAUGCAGGUUAUCUUUCGUAUCCACACAAUGCUCAAUCACAGACAUGCUAUGUGUUCACACAUGGUGGAACGGCCAUAUCAUGGCGUUCCAUGAAACAGACGAUCACGGCCACAUCUUCAAACCAUUCGGAGAUCUUAGCUAUUCAUGAAGCCAGCCGCGAGUGUGUUUGGUUGAGGUCCAUGACCCAACAUGUUCGAGUUGAUUGUGGGAUGUCCGAAGGUAAGGAUGCACCAACCGUGAUGUAUGAAGACAAUGCAGCAUGCAUUGUUCAGCUCAAGGACGGUUACAUCAAAGGAGAUAGGACGAAGCACAUCCCACCCAAGUUCUUCUUCACGUAUGAACUUCAGAAAGCCGGCGAGGUUCAAGUGGUCCAAAUGCGUUCCAGUGACAACUCAGCUGAUCUAUUUACCAAGUCACUUCCUACCUCGACGUUCAGGAAGCUCAUGUAUCAGAUAGGUAUACGUAGACUGAAAGACCUUCAGUGAUGUUCAUAACAGGGGGAAUAAUACGUGUUGUACUCUUUUUUCUCCACCAUGAUUUUGUCCCAUUGGGUUUUCCUGGUAAGAUUUUAAUGAGGCAAUAUCCAAAGCGUAUUACGAACUCUGUAUGGUUAUGACAUCCAAGGAAGAGUUUUAUAAAUCAUAUUGUGGAUGUUCAUAACCGGUCCGGUCCAUAACCGGUUCAUACCGUUAGAGAGAGAGAGACGGCUAGAGAGAGAGUUGGCCACAUUUGGUUUUUCUUUUUCUUUAUUGGUUUAUGAUUUGUACUAUUUUUUUUUCUAGUCUUUCAAUUAUUCUAUGACGGUGUAAUUCUCUAUAUAUAAAUGGUUCAUUAUGUUUAAAGAUUAAUAAGAAUAUAGAGAUUUUAUUCUCCAAGUUUCACGACAAAAAACCUUUUCUUUAAUCAUUGAUCGUGCGUCUGACAUUAGACCACAAUAAAAUUACAACUAUAAGCAGCUCACGUCAUAGAUGCAAAUCUGGAGGAAAUAAUAAGCACACUUAAAAUUUAAUCCAGAGCAAAAUAUAAUAACAAAUAAAUACCAUUUCGAGUAGAACUAGUUAUGGAUUAUAUAUAUCACGUUAUAAGCUUACAUAGCUUUUUAUUAUUUGCCUUAGAAAAUAUUCGUUGACAUUGUGAAUAGAAAGAUUACAACAUGUACUAGAAGUACCCUUCCUUAAACAUUUCAUUGUCACGGUUUAUUUAAAUGAACUAUUACCAAAGAGCUUACAUAGAAACCAAACCACAAUAAAAGAUCACUUAGUCUUUCGAGAUGAUACCAUUCAGUACUUAGGCCUCACGUUAAGACGGGAAGCUAGUUUCUGUCCCAGCGAUUUGUCUGCCUGAGUCCAGUAAGAUAUCCAAAUGCUGCGAAUCUCGUGCGUCACGCGAGGCUCCGCAAGUGCUUCAACAAAACGCUUCACGAAACGCUCUUGCCUUUUACCCGGAAAGAAAAAAAAACAAUUAGAAUUUUAUGAAAUGUGUGAAGCUUUGUGGAUUUUGCAAUGAGUUUUGUAGUGUCUACCUGUCUGCGUCCCAGGACCUGUAUCGUUCCCCUGGCUGCUGAAAGUUGUUCUCCUUCUCAAUCAUGCACUGUCGUAUACAGAAGAUAGUAUAAAAAACAUUUUAAUCUCACAAUGUUAAAAGGAUUUGUGUCAAGGCAUGGAGCGGAAUAUGACCUUCUCACGAUUUCCAGAGCAGAAAACAGGAGUUGUUGGGUAUUUGUCAGCAUGGCGAACCGGAUUCAACCUUGAAGGGAAGUAAUUAACCUGGAAAGCAACUCAACCGGUUCAUAUAAUCAAACUAUAAAAAAUAAGAUUGUGAAUAAGCGUUUGAAUGAGCUGAUUACCUCCUCAUCUCGGUGCAUGAAGUUCAUGAAACCUUCAUGGUGAUUGUUGUGGUGAGCACAUUUUGGAGCAUUAACCGGCAGCUGCAGAUAGUUUGGUCCAAGACGGUGUCUCUGACUAUCAGCGUAGGAGAAGAUCCUGGUCUGGAGCAGCUUAUCAUCUGAGUAAUGGACGCCAGGAACGACAAUAGCAGGGCAGAAAGCAAUCUGCUCAUUCUCGUUAAAGAAGUUGUCGAUGUUUUUGUUCAGCACCAAGCGGCCAACAGGCUGCAGAGGCAAGAUAUCUUCAGGCCAGAUCUUGGUGACAUCAAGAGGGUCGAAGUCAAACUUGUCUUCAUGAGCAGGAUCCAUCACUUGAACGAAGAGAUUCCACUCUGGAUAGUUCCCAGAAGCGAUUGAGUCAUAGAGAUCCUUGGUUGCAUGGCUGUGGUUGGAUCCUCCGACCUUGAUAGCUUCCUCAUCAAGGAGGCAUUUAACCCCACAAGACGGUUUCCAGUGGAACUUGACGUAGUGAGCUUUUCCGGCUUUGUUGAUAAGCAUGUAGGUGUUGACACCAAAGCCAUCCAUGUGCCUGUAGUCCUGUGGGAUACCGAGAUCGUCAAAGAGGAACGAAAACAUGUGAAGACUCUCAGGGUGGUGUGAGAAGAAGUCCAGUAUCCUCCAGUUCUCCUGAAUGUGGGAUUUGGGGUUCGGUUUCAAGGCGUGGACCAUGUCAGGGAACUUCAUCCCGUCGCGGACGAAGAAGACAGGGAAGUUGUUGCCAACAAGAUCAAAGUUCCCCUGAGUUUGCAAAACAGACUCAUUAAAAGACAAGGAUGUUGAUGAUGGCAUGAAAGAGAGAGAGAGAGAGAGAGAGAGUGGGGAAAAGCUAAACCUCUCUGGUGUAGAACUUGACAGCAAAACCACGAGGAUCUCUGAGAGUCUCGGGGCUGCCGCGCUCGUGGAUCACAGUAGAGAAACGAACAAUGACAGGAGUCUGGACGCCAGGUCCUCGGAGAAAAUCAGCACAGGUAAGGUGGGUAAUGUCAUGGGUGACUUCAAAGAAACCUUUAGCACUAGCACCUCUGGCAUGAACAACUCUUUCAGGAAUCCGCUCCCUGUCAAAGUUGGCUAAUUUCUCAAGCAGAUGAUAGUCUUCCAGAAGAAUAGGGCCUGGCAAGUUACAAAAAUUAUAGCUUUCACAAGAAAGCUGAUUCACAAAAGUCCAAAAAAUGAAUGGAGACAUUCUCAUUUAAAUGUUUACUGCAAGAGAUAAGAAAGACGCACCUCUGGUUCCAGCAGUCAAAGAGGAGUUGUUGUUCCAGACAGGAGCACCCGAGUUUGUCGUGAAGAAGGGCGAAUCAUGAGCGCUUGAAGGACGAACCUGCACCCCCAAACGAUUGAUGAUAACAUGACAGAAUAAUAAACAAAUCAAGAGGGUCCAGAAGCAACAUGAACAUUAGGUAGCUACUACUUGAGCUCAAAAUCCAGUAAAUCGAUUAAAUAACGAACAAAACAACUCAAAAAAUCUGAGUUAGAAACCUUAAACAAUGAUUAUAUACAACGACAUCGAUAGAUUACGUCAACGUUUGGACUAGUUAUUCCUCGAAAACGUGCAUGUGGCUAAAUAAACAAUCAAUAAACAUAACCAUUCACAUAAUCCAGUCCUAAAUAUAUUUGAUCUUUUUAAUCUUAAACAAAAGCAAGUUUCUAGCAACUUCUAGAACCCUCACCAACAAUCAAACCCCCGAUCUAUGCGAAUUAUACAAAAAUCGAACAAUCAAACUAUUAGAUCAUUUAAUCACACGAAAUUGAUACGAAACGGACUCAGAUCCAGAAUCAACCGAAACAAAAUCUAAGAGAAAUCGAUCGGUGGUGUUACCCUGUAUGGAUCCAUGGAUGCAAAGACGAUUUCGAUUCGGAUUUUGCCUCCUUCACGGUUUCUUUUUAGGUGAGACUGGUUUUGUAUCUUUCUACGUAAUCGGCGUGUGUCUCACUGUUUUAUAGUGACCCCCAAGAUAAAUAUCUUAUUUUUAUCCCACCGCGUUAAAAUUGAGAUUACGUUACCAACUAAAAUAGUCGUAUGUUUUUUUUUUUUUUGGGGAGAUUAUCCAAAUGAUUACUUUCUCGAAUCAGUCCGCCACCUAAUUACCUGCUUACGUGUGCGGAUAAUAUCCUCUUACCCUUACUUGGAUUCUAUACUAUAACUAGACAAAUCUUGUUUUCAAAUUCAAGCUUAUCCCUUAGUAAAAUAAAUAGUACUAGUCGAAUUAUAAUACUGCAUUUAUUUUCAUUGAUUUUAUUUUAUUAUUAUGACAAACACAGAGUUUGACAAGUAAUAAGAUACCAAGGAAACAUUUGGUUUUAAAAGGAUUACAAACAUCAUUUUUUAUUAUACAGACACGAAACAGAAACAACAACAACAGCAUAAUCUUCUUGAGGAAUUUUAAGUGAUGAUGGAUCGUUGAGAGUAUCAUAUGAUUUGUACCUUUCCAAGGACAAGAGAUUGGUCUCUCUAGAUGCUUGGCCUUACGUUCAGACGGCUUGCAAGUUUCUGUCCCAGUGAUCGGUCAGCCUGAGACAUACAGAUUUUAUUAAGAAUGUCAGCUUUCACAAAAAUGGGAGAAAAUGCAAAGUAGGAAGCACUGAGUUUGUUUCUUUUUUUGUUCUGACCUGAGACCAGUAAGAGAUCCAGAUGCCGCGGAUCUCAUGAGUCAGACGUGGCUCUGACAGUAUCUCAACCCAUCUCUUCACAAACCUGUCUUGCCUGUCACCCACCCAUAAAAGUAAGCAUUAGGAUUCUAGUGAGUUUCAGUGAGAGAGUUACUUAUGCAAAGAGAGAGAAUGAGACUUCUUCUUUUACCUGUCUGGUGCCCAUGAUCUGUAUCUGUCUCCUGGCUGCUUGAAGUUGUUCUCCUUCUUGAUGAUGCACUGCAACACAUUGACAAUGAAGAAUUGUUUUAGUACACAAAAUUCAAAUGAAGUGAAAUAUAAGGUUUUGAUGCCUUCAAAUCAUAUACCUUUGUUCUGAUUCCAGUGUAUGAUUUGUUAGGGAUAGGAGCUUUCUCUGCGCAGCGGACAGGAUCAAACUUUGAGGGAUAGUAAUUGAUCUGUAAAAGCAAACACCACAUUAAGAUUUUGAUACCAAAUUAAGAAAAACAAGCAAGCAUAGCUCAAAUGGUACUAUUUAGACUUACCUCCUCAUCUCUGUGCAUGAAGUUCAUAAACCCUUCAUGGUGAUUGUUGUGGUGAGCACAUUUGGGAGCAUUAACCGGCAGCUGCAGAUAGUUGGGUCCAAGACGAUGUCUCUGAGUGUCACCAUACGCAAAGAUCCUACACUGGAGCAGCUUAUCAUCCGAGUAGUAAAUCCCAGGAACCACAAGACCAGGGUUGAAAGCGAGCUGCUCAGUCUCAUUAAAGAAGUUAUCAAUAGUCCUGUUCAGAACCAACCGACCAACAGGCUGCAGAGGCAAGAUAUCCUCAGGCCAGAUCUUGGUCACAUCGAGCGGGUCGAAGUCAAACUUAUCCUCAUCCGCAGGAUCCAUGGUCUGAAUAAAAAGCUUCCACUCAGGGUAGUUACCAGACGCAAUAGCAUCGUGGAGAUCCUUAGUCGCGUGGCUGUGGUUGGCUCCUCCAACUACCUUAGCCUCUUCAUCGGUGAGAUUCUUGAUCCCACAAGUUGGUUUCCAGUGGAACUUCACGAAGAGAACCUUUCCGGAUUUGGAGACAAGAGUGUAGGUGUGGACACCGAAACCUUCCAUGUGCCUGUAGUCUUGUGGGAUACCGACGUCAUCAAACAUCCAGCACCAUGUGAGGAGACUCUCUGGUAAGUGGGACAUGUAGUCCAGUAUCCUCCAGUACUCCUGGAUGUUUGUUUUCGGGUUCGGCUUCAGGGCGUGGACGACGUCCGGGAACUGAAUCCCGUCGCGGAUGAAGAACACCGGAGUGUUGUUUCCAACAAGAUCGAAGUUUCCCUGAAGUGCAUUAGCAAUACACAAACAUGAGUACUUUGAUUCUAAAGAAGAUAGAGGACAUCUCAAAAAUGGAAAUUAGUAAUAUAUUUUUUUGUUCAUAUAACCAAAUUUAAAAUCGGUCCAUCAGCAAAUUAGUUAUUAUAUAAUCUUUUAUUAUAUAUACACAUUCUAAGAAUCCAUAGACUAAUCAACUAUUAGCAAAAUGAUUUUUUUUUAAAACGAUUAUUUUUAAUGGGUCUAAGAGCGGGAUCUUAAGGUGGAGUUCUUAGUGGAAUAUAAGAACCAGUCUCUUAACUUUUAACUAAAAAAAGCUAAGAAGCCUAGCAUAAGAACCCCCAAUAAUCAUGUUCUAAGCAUCCGCGUAGACAUUAAUCCUUGUGGCCUAGUGAUUUCUUGAACAUUAAUUGUUUAUACCUCUCUGGUGUAAAACUUGACGGCGAAGCCACGGAUGUCUCUCAUGGUUUCAGGGCUGGCACGCUCGUGAACGACGGUGGAGAAACGGACGAUGACGGGAGUCUGAACACCAGGGGCUCUGAGGAAAUCGGCACAAGUGAGGUUUGAAAUGUCAUGGGUGACCUCAAAGAAGCCCUUAGCACUGAUUCCUCUGGCAUGAACCACUCUCUCAGGAAUCCUCUCCCUGGUGAAGUUAGCAACCUUCUCGAUCAGAUGGUAGUCCUCAAGAAGAACCGGACCUGCCCAGAACAAAAAGUAACAAAAUUUUAGAAAACCAAUCACACUCCAAUACACAAGAUCCGAGAUUUGAACUAUUUCUCUCCUAACGAAUAUACCUCUUUCUCCGAUGGUGAGGGAGGAGAUGUUGUUGGAGACCGGAGCACCGCCGUUUGUGGUGUAGAACGGAGCGUUGUACGCGCUCGACGGACGGUACUGCAAGAACCGUAAUUCAAUCGAUUAUCAGAUAUAUCCCCAGAUCAAGCAACAAUCGUAUCGAUUCAAUUUUUUUUUACCCUAAUUUCAGUUGUUGGAAGAAGGAAGAUAUCACUUUCUAUUUUACCCGCGUCUUUCUUAUUCACUCACAAUCCGAAAUUUUAAAACUAAACCCGGUUUUACCGGGCCGGAUCCGGGCCGUCGGUGGACAAAGAAGGCUUUUCAUUUUGGGUGGUAACAUGUCGGAUUAUUCGAUUAUUGCUUUACUUUCUCGUAUAUUCAUUAGUCUUGUUUGAUGGAUCUACCACUUUUAACAGUUCGAAUAAUAAAUCCAUACGUUUUUUUUAAGAAAUUCCAACGAUUAUCCUCAUAUACAUACACCAUGCUACCAUGGUAUGUUAAAAAAUAAUUUAUAAGUGAUAUGUGCAUUGUUUCAUACGAAUAAAUACUUCACUUAAAUUUGUUUUAUUGACGACACUCUGAUUAAUCAUAUGUUUAUAUCUUAUCUGAUCAGAUUAUUUAUAUUAUGAUUAAUUUAUUGGGUAGAUUUGAUUAAUCAGGUGCGUAGAUCUGAGAAAUCUAUUUAACAAAAUUUACAAAAACACAUGCAUGUUUUUAAUAAAAACACACAAACAACAAAAUAAGGUCUCUCGUAUCAGGGAAAAAACAAACAAACCACAUGUGACGUUUUUAACGCAUGCACUGGUUUAUAGAUCAAACGAGUCGUUUUAAAAGUAUGCCAUCUUAGAUAGCCAACCCAAAAAUCAACAUAACCACCUUAUAGCUCAAACGAUCAUAGAACAUAAAUUAAUUUUGGAAGAAAAAGCAUGUAUUUAACACUAAGACUCAAGAGCAACUUUCAUUUUUCAUUAAAAAGAGUUGGAAAAAUGAUCAUAAUGAAACAUGGGAUCAUAGUGAAACAUAAUUGACUUAAGACACACACACACACAAAAAAAGUGGAGAAGAACAAGAAGAUACCUUGUAAGGAUCCAUGGUGAUGAAGAAGCUUUGAUGAUCCCAAAAUAUAACGUUUGAGGUUUUGGUAUAGUGAGAGUGAUGAGAUCUUAUAUAUGUGUAAUGUAUAUAUAGUGAAUCGCGUGUGCUACGUUAGGUAAUGGCGGCCCCCAAAUGGAGGGGUACGUUUGUCUUUCCAUGAUCAAUUUAUCGAUACAGUAAAAAUUAGAGCUAGAAAUUUUAAUCAUUGUCUGCGGGCCCGUCCCGUUUGACCCGCCGCAGGGCGGAUGCAGAUCGAACCAUUUGAAAAUUUUAAAUCGCGGGUGCGGGUACGGGUCGAGAUUAUUUUGACCAGGGCAGGUGCGGGUCAGCCAAAUUUGAAUCGCGGGUACCCGCAAAUUAAAAAAAAAAAAAAAUUUGAAAAAAGAAACAUUUCUGGUAAAAUAUAUAAAAACAAUAAAUAUUUAUAUAAUUUUAAUUAUAAAUAUAUUUUUAAUAGUAUUUUUUAAAAAUAAAUAUUAUAUAAAUAAAAAAUAAUUAUUUUUAAUUAAAAUAAUUAUUAUAUAAUUAGAAAAUAAUCAUUUUUAAUUAAAAUAACUAUUUUUAAUAUAAUUAAUAUUACCCGCGGGUUUGGCGGGGUAAUCGCGGGGUUUGGCNNNNNNNNNNNNNNNNNNNNNNNNNNNNNNNNNNNNNNNNNNNNNNNNNNNNNNNNNNNNNNNNNNNNNNNNNNNNNNNNNNNNNNNNNNNNNNNNNNNNNNNNNNNNNNNNNNNNNNNNNNNNNNNNNNNNNNNNNNNNNNNNNNNNNNNNNNNNNNNNNNNNNNNNNNNNNNNNNNNNNNNNNNNNNNNNNNNNNNNNNNNNNNNNNNNNNNNNNNNNNNNNNNNNNNNNNNNNNNNNNNNNNNNNNNNNNNNNNNNNNNNNNNNNNNNNNNNNNNNNNNNNNNNNNNNNNNNNNNNNNNNNNNNNNNNNNNNNNNNNNNNNNNNNNNNNNNNNNNNNNNNNNNNNNNNNNNNNNNNNNNNNNNNNNNNNNNNNNNNNNNNNNNNNNNNNNNNNNNNNNNNNNNNNNNNNNNNNNNNNNNNNNNNNNNNNNNNNNNNNNNNNNNNNNNNNNNNNNNNNNNNNNNNNNNNNNNNNNNNNNNNNNNNNNNNNNNNNUGCACCAAUAAGAAUUGAUGUUCAAGAGGGACACAAUCAAGUUGCUACAGAGUCUAGACAACGUUUGAAACGUGGUAGACCAAUAGGUUCCAAAGAUAAGAACCCUCGGAAAACAAAGAAAGGUGCAUCCGAGGCCGAAACCCUAGACACGGCCGCGGCCGAUCCUGAAACCCUAGAGAUGGCCGUGACCGAACCUAAGGCCUUAGACAGGGCCGAGGAACCUAAUGUGCCUAAUACUGAUGCUUGGGACGCUAAGCUUCAUGGUACUGAUGGUCCUGAUAAUAAUGAGAUCUCAAUAAAUUAUGUCUUGUCUGGGAUACAAUAGAACAGAAAGAAUGUCGACAUUGUUGAUAUAUUUGCAUAUAAGGUAGCACUUGAACUUAUGGAUUUAAACGAGGAUCAUGAACCCACGUCUAUUUAUGAGUGCACUCAACGAUCAGAUUGGAUCAAAUGGAAAGAAGCUAUAAACGUGGAGUUAAAUUCUUUAAAGAAAAGAGGUGUCUUCGGUCCUAUAAUCCGGACACCCUAUGAUGUCAAACCAGUUGGAUACAAAUUGGUCUUUGUGAGGAAAAGAAACGAACAUGGUGAAGUAGUGAGAUAUAAAGCAUGGCUUGUUGCACAAGGAUUCUCACAGAGACCAGAAAUAGACUAUGAGGAGACAUACUCCCCUGUGGUGGAUGCUACUACUUUUAGAUUCCUGAUAAGUCUGGCUAUAAGAGAAAACUUAGACUUGCGGUUAAUGGAUGUAGUAACUGCAUACUUAUAUGGUUCACUGGAUAAUGAGAUAUAUAUGAAAGUACCAGAGGGGUAUUGAAUUGAAAAACAAAGCAAGUUCUCGAGAACAAUAUUGUAUAAAGUUGAACAAAUCACUUUAUGAAUUGAAACAAUCAGGUCGAAUGUGGUACAAUAGACUAAGUGAGUACCUAGUGAAAGAGGGCUAUAAGAAUGACCUCUAUGUUUUUUUAUAAAGAAAUUCGACAAUAAAGGAUUUGUGAUCAUAGCAGUGUAUGUUGAUGAUUUGAAUAUCCUAGGAACCUCUGGAGAGAUUUCCCAAACAGUUGAAUAUCUUAAGAAAGAAUUUGAGAUGAAAGAUCUUGGAAAAACAAAGUUCUGUUUGGGAUUACAGCUUGUGUACAUUAGAGAUGGAAUCCUUGUGCAUCAAAUGACAUAUACAGAGAAAGUACUCAAAAGAUUCAAUAUGGCCGAGUCUCACUCAUUGUCUAGCCCCAUGGUCGUGAGGUCUCUCGGACUGGACACAGAUCCGUUCGGCCCUAAGAAUGACGAUGAAGAUGUCCUUGGUCCCGAAGUGCCAUAUCUCAGUGCCAUUGGAGCUUUGAUGCAUCUGACUAGUCACACACGGCCAGACAUAUGCUUUGCAGUGAACCUACUAUCUAGGUUUAGCUCUUGUCCGACCUAAAGGCACUAGAAUGAGAUUAAACAUAUACUUCGUUACCUGCAAGGAACGAAAGACUUGUGUUUAUUUUAUACUAACCAAAACAAAGAAGGUUUAGUUGGUUUUGCUAAUGCAGGUUAUCUUUCGUAUCCACACAAUGCUCAAUCACAGACAUGCUAUGUGUUCACACAUGGUGGAACGGCCAUAUCAUGGCGUUCCAUGAAACAGACGAUCACGGCCACAUCUUCAAACCAUUCGGAGAUCUUAGCUAUUCAUGAAGCCAGCCGCGAGUGUGUUUGGUUGAGGUCCAUGACCCAACAUGUUCGAGUUGAUUGUGGGAUGUCCGAAGGUAAGGAUGCACCAACCGUGAUGUAUGAAGACAAUGCAGCAUGCAUUGUUCAGCUCAAGGACGGUUACAUCAAAGGAGAUAGGACGAAGCACAUCCCACCCAAGUUCUUCUUCACGUAUGAACUUCAGAAAGCCGGCGAGGUUCAAGUGGUCCAAAUGCGUUCCAGUGACAACUCAGCUGAUCUAUUUACCAAGUCACUUCCUACCUCGACGUUCAGGAAGCUCAUGUAUCAGAUAGGUAUACGUAGACUGAAAGACCUUCAGUGAUGUUCAUAACAGGGGGAAUAAUACGUGUUGUACUCUUUUUUCUCCACCAUGAUUUUGUCCCAUUGGGUUUUCCUGGUAAGAUUUUAAUGAGGCAAUAUCCAAAGCGUAUUACGAACUCUGUAUGGUUAUGACAUCCAAGGAAGAGUUUUAUAAAUCAUAUUGUGGAUGUUCAUAACCGGUCCGGUCCAUAACCGGUUCAUACCGUUAGAGAGAGAGAGACGGCUAGAGAGAGAGUUGGCCACAUUUGGUUUUUCUUUUUCUUUAUUGGUUUAUGAUUUGUACUAUUUUUUUUUCUAGUCUUUCAAUUAUUCUAUGACGGUGUAAUUCUCUAUAUAUAAAUGGUUCAUUAUGUUUAAAGAUUAAUAAGAAUAUAGAGAUUUUAUUCUCCAAGUUUCACGACAAAAAACCUUUUCUUUAAUCAUUGAUCGUGCGUCUGACAUUAGACCACAAUAAAAUUACAACUAUAAGCAGCUCACGUCAUAGAUGCAAAUCUGGAGGAAAUAAUAAGCACACUUAAAAUUUAAUCCAGAGCAAAAUAUAAUAACAAAUAAAUACCAUUUCGAGUAGAACUAGUUAUGGAUUAUAUAUAUCACGUUAUAAGCUUACAUAGCUUUUUAUUAUUUGCCUUAGAAAAUAUUCGUUGACAUUGUGAAUAGAAAGAUUACAACAUGUACUAGAAGUACCCUUCCUUAAACAUUUCAUUGUCACGGUUUAUUUAAAUGAACUAUUACCAAAGAGCUUACAUAGAAACCAAACCACAAUAAAAGAUCACUUAGUCUUUCGAGAUGAUACCAUUCAGUACUUAGGCCUCACGUUAAGACGGGAAGCUAGUUUCUGUCCCAGCGAUUUGUCUGCCUGAGUCCAGUAAGAUAUCCAAAUGCUGCGAAUCUCGUGCGUCACGCGAGGCUCCGCAAGUGCUUCAACAAAACGCUUCACGAAACGCUCUUGCCUUUUACCCGGAAAGAAAAAAAAACAAUUAGAAUUUUAUGAAAUGUGUGAAGCUUUGUGGAUUUUGCAAUGAGUUUUGUAGUGUCUACCUGUCUGCGUCCCAGGACCUGUAUCGUUCCCCUGGCUGCUGAAAGUUGUUCUCCUUCUCAAUCAUGCACUGUCGUAUACAGAAGAUAGUAUAAAAAACAUUUUAAUCUCACAAUGUUAAAAGGAUUUGUGUCAAGGCAUGGAGCGGAAUAUGACCUUCUCACGAUUUCCAGAGCAGAAAACAGGAGUUGUUGGGUAUUUGUCAGCAUGGCGAACCGGAUUCAACCUUGAAGGGAAGUAAUUAACCUGGAAAGCAACUCAACCGGUUCAUAUAAUCAAACUAUAAAAAAUAAGAUUGUGAAUAAGCGUUUGAAUGAGCUGAUUACCUCCUCAUCUCGGUGCAUGAAGUUCAUGAAACCUUCAUGGUGAUUGUUGUGGUGAGCACAUUUUGGAGCAUUAACCGGCAGCUGCAGAUAGUUUGGUCCAAGACGGUGUCUCUGACUAUCAGCGUAGGAGAAGAUCCUGGUCUGGAGCAGCUUAUCAUCUGAGUAAUGGACGCCAGGAACGACAAUAGCAGGGCAGAAAGCAAUCUGCUCAUUCUCGUUAAAGAAGUUGUCGAUGUUUUUGUUCAGCACCAAGCGGCCAACAGGCUGCAGAGGCAAGAUAUCUUCAGGCCAGAUCUUGGUGACAUCAAGAGGGUCGAAGUCAAACUUGUCUUCAUGAGCAGGAUCCAUCACUUGAACGAAGAGAUUCCACUCUGGAUAGUUCCCAGAAGCGAUUGAGUCAUAGAGAUCCUUGGUUGCAUGGCUGUGGUUGGAUCCUCCGACCUUGAUAGCUUCCUCAUCAAGGAGGCAUUUAACCCCACAAGACGGUUUCCAGUGGAACUUGACGUAGUGAGCUUUUCCGGCUUUGUUGAUAAGCAUGUAGGUGUUGACACCAAAGCCAUUCAUGUGUCUGUAGUCCUGUGGGAUACCGAGAUCGUCGAAGAGGAACGAAAACAUGUGAAGACUCUCAGGGUGAUGUGAGAAGAAGUCCAGUAUCCUCCAGUUCUCCUGAAUGUGGGAUUUGG